GGCGCGGCGAGUGCAGCGGUACACAGACUGGAAAGCCUCGGGAUCCUUCGGGUUCUUUCGUUUUCCCUCCAGGGUAAAGUUAUGUUCAGUCUUCCAUCAACACGUUUAUUUUUCCGCCCGACUCGGCGCGCGUGCGCAGUGCCUCUCAACCCAGGCUGUUCCUGAAAUGUAAGCGUGUUGAGACGCGGGGAGGGAAGCUGAACGUCCAUGCUACAGGAGCGCUGUGGCGAGGACGCUUUGGCCCAGCAGGGAAGGACGCGGACUGGCACGUGGUGGGACAGUCGUUCAAACCCAGGACGAACCUGGAGCGCAGACGGGGAUGCCCGGGAAUGCGCUCCACGAUGCGGCGGCCCGUGCUCCGCGCUAUGCAAAUUAUCUGUUGGGAGAUUGGCGCUUCCAGUUCUGCACUUCCGCCCGCGCUUCUAAAGGCCGGACUACCCAAACUUUGAGCGCUCCGAUCCUUAGAAAAACCCAGUCAGAAUUUUAACAACAGACACCCACCAUCAGCACACACACACACACACACAUCCCGCAAAACAACAACAAAACCCCCACUACUGCGCUCUCUAGUGUUUCAUUUUCCCUAAAUGUGUUUCUGCAGGUCAAUCAACAAUUUGACCCAGCAAUUCACCUUUGGGUCAUUAUCCUGCUGGAUGGGCGUUAUCCAUCAGUGCCUCGAGGUUGCUUCAAGGAGGCUCUUGACUAUAUAUUCUUUAUUAUAAUACAGUGAGGAUUGGCCCCAGAACGAUGGUUGUUGUAUAAGUGCUCUACAAGAGUUUAAGAAAUAACCCGUGUGCGAGGCACAGAAGUUCUUUUGCUCACGGUGAGCGCUAAGGACACCAAGAAUGUUAAAUACACAGGGAUGUCUGUUCAGUGAGAGAGAUGGGUAACGCACUGUGCUUCCUGCCCAGAAGGCUGGCAGUGGAUGUGGUUAAUAGCCUGUGACCCGAGACUGAUAGGCUAAGACCUCACCCAGUUCCUCCCUAGAGCCUUAUCUUGAGCGAGUUUUUCUCAAGUCUAUAGAAACUAUUUUUCUGGAAGAUGUCGCAGUCAUGUUCGCUGUGCACGGGCGAUUGAGUUGAUUAUCACCAGGAAAGUUUUCAUCAAAUAAAGUACUUGGGGUCAGACCCACAGAGUUUGAACCAA